UACGAGGGGGGCUAGCGUUGUUCGGCUUUACUGGGCGUAAAGGGCGCGUAGGCGGCCUGCUGCGUCGUGCGUGAAAGGCCUGGGCUUAACCCGGGCAUUGCGUCCGAUACGAUGCAGGCUUGAGAGUGGGAGAGGAUGGCGGAAUUCCCAGUGUAGAGGUGAAAUGCGUAGAUAUUGGGAAGAACACCGGUGGCGAAGGCGGCCAUCUGGACCAUUUCUGACGCUGAGGCGCGAAAGCGUGGGGAGCAAACAGG
rnacentral:rRNA from 1 species